AUUGAACGCUGGCGGCAGGCCUAACACAUGCAAGUCGAGCGGAUGAGAGGAGCUUGCUUCUCGAUUCAGCGGCGGACGGGUGAGUAAUGCCUAGGAAUCUGCCUGGUAGUGGGGGACAACGUUUCGAAAGGAACGCUAAUACAGCAUACGUCCUACGGGAGAAAGCAGGGGACCUUCGGGCCUUGCGCUAUCAGAUGAGCCUAGGUCGGAUUAGCUAGUUGGUGAGGUAAUGGCUCACCAAGGCGACGAUCCGUAACUGGUCUGAGAGGAGGAUCAGUCACACUGGGACUGGGACACGGUCAAGACUCCUACGGGAGGCAGCAGUGGGGAAUAUUGGACAAUGGGCGGAAGCAUGAUACAGCCAUGCGGCGUGUGUGAAGAAGGUCUUCGGAUUGUAAAGCACUUUAAGUUGGGAGAAGGGGUUGUAGAUUAAUACUCUGCAAUUUUGACGUUACCGACAGAAGAAGCACCGGCUAACUCUGUGCCAGCCGCCGCGGUAAUAC
rnacentral:rRNA from 1 species